CAGGAUAAAAACGCAACGCGGGGGCUUUUGCCGCCGCCAGAGCUGGUAGGUAGCCCAGCCGUCUGCGCUUCGGCGCAGGUAAGUAACCCUCCCCUCCGGGUCGUCCGUUCCUGUGAAAAUA
rnacentral:ncRNA from 1 species